rnacentral:lncRNA from 1 species
UCCCGUAUUGACAUCCCUGCUGUCUAUUCUCCUGCGAAUCCUUCUGCUGGUGACUUCAUCCGAGUCCAUUUUCUUGCUCCUCAGUGCAUGUUCAUCUGCUUUUCCCUGUUAAUAAAUAUAGGAAUCCCAUAACAAACAGCAUUUGACAAAACAGAACGUAAUAAUAACAACAAAACUUGACUCCAUCCUCAGUGCAUGUUCAUCUGCUUUUCCACUUCAAAGCAGCUGACGGCACGAUUCGUACUUGGACUCCAAAAUGUCUAGAUUAUGGAGAAACCAGCCUUCUAUCCAAAACACACAAAGAAGUGUAUUUUCCGUUUAUACCAAUUAAGUGUGUUGAAGCAUGUCCCACAUGGCCACAUAGGAAACUUGUUGAGGUUUAAAUCCUCUUAUAUAGAAAGUUCGACUACUAAUUGCCUUGAGGCCUUAAUUCUGUAUAAAACCAUACCUAUUGAAUUGCACACGUGCUUAAGUUAAGGUCAGUAUUGAUGGUAAUUAGUAGUGGGCUGCUGGGCCGUCUUAAAAAAACUGGUACAAAGGGCAAUUUAUAG